rnacentral:rRNA from 1 species
GACGAACGCUGGCGGCGUGCUUAAUACAUGCAAGUCGAACGGAAAGGCCCUGCUUUUGUGGGUUGCUCGAGUGGCGAACGCGUGAGUAACACGUGAGUAACCUGCCCUUGACUUUGUGAUAACUUCAGGAAACUGGGGCUAAUACCGGAUAGGAGCUCCUGCUGCGCGUUGGGGGUUGGAAAGUUUCGGCGUUGGGGGCUGGACUCGCGGCUUAUCCGCUGGUUGGGCGGGUAGUGGCUUACGAAGGCUGUGACGGGUAGGCGGCCUGGGAGGGUGAACGGCCACCUUGGGACUGAGAGACGCCCCAGACGCGUACGGGAGGCAGAAGUGGGGAACAUUGCACAAUGGGGGGAAGCCUGAUGCAGCGACGCCGCGUGCGGGAUGUCGGCUUUCGGGUUGUAAACCGAUUUCGCCGGUGACGAAGCGUGAGUGACGGUAAUGGGUAAAGAAGCACCGGCUAACUACGUG